ACGGGUGAGUAACACGUGGGCAACCUGCCCUUGAGACUGGGAUAACUUCGGGAAACCGGAGCUAAUACCGGAUAAUACAAGGAACCUCCUGGUUCCUUGUUGAAAGAUGGUUUCGGCUAUCACUUAAGGAUGGGCCCGCGGCGCAUUAGCUAGUUGGUGAGGUAACGGCUCACCAAGGCGACGAUGCGUAGCCGACCUGAGAGGGUGAUCGGCCACACUGGGACUGAGACACGGCCCAGACUCCUACGGGAGGCAGCAGUAGGGAAUCUUCCACAAUGGACGAAAGUCUGAUGGAGCAACGCCGCGUGAGUGAUGAAGGCCUUCGGGUCGUAAAGCUCUGUUGUUAGGGAAGAACAAGUGCGAGAGUAACUGCUCGCACCUUGACGGUACCUAACCAGAAAGCCACGGCUAACUACGUGCCAGCAGCCGCGGUAAUACGUAGGUGGCAAGCGUUAUCCGGAAUUAUUGGGCGUAAAGCGCGCGCAGGUGGUUUCUUAAGUCUGAUGUGAAAGCCCACGGCUCAACCGUGGAGGGUCAUUGGAAACUGGGGAACUUGAGUGCAGAAGAGGAAAGUGGAAUUC
rnacentral:rRNA from 1 species